AUGUAUGCUCCUGUUCCCCCAUUAAAACCCCUUCUUAAACCCCCCGAUUUUCCCUCGGAUUUUCCUGGGAAAAUGAAGCGGAGGAUCUCACUAGCACUGGUUUCGCCUCUAGACCGGCUUUGCUGUUGCUAAUCUGUUCGGUGUAUUCCUUCGGAUCAGAGGAGUGGGGUCUGAGUGCUCUUGACUUAACCUGUCCAAAUUGAAAGGGAAAAUACUGGCAGUCCCUUUGACAGGUUUUCUAACGGAACUUACUGAAGAAAUGGCUGGGAGAAAUAAUAAUCUCAGAGGUGAUCAAGCUUCAAUCAAAUACAGAUGGGACCCAGUUGUGCAGUCAUCCUCUGAGCUUGGCGGUUUUGCUCAUGAGGAAUGUGGCACCCCCCUUUCUAAUAAUUUUGACAAAAAAUGUGGUAAAAGAUCUGAUCCCAAAACUCAUGAAAUAUUGAGUACGGCUGAACUCAUCUCAGCAGUGGGCCAGGUGUGGGAUUACGCAUGUCGUCCUCUUGCUUCUUUACGAAAUGAGGUAAAUUCAAGUCAUGAUGGUGGCGGUAGUAAGAAUGACGUUAUAUUGCGUAAUAUAGUUGGGGAAAGCAAUGACAUGGUACCCCAUUCAUCACCCAGGACUAACUACUUUUGUGUUGAUUUAAGGACUGCUGGUCAUGAGUCUCCAUCUAAAACCCAACCAAACUUAGAUUUUAUGGGAGUAGCCCAGAAGAUCUCAGUGUCUGAACCUUUCGGUGAAAGGUAUAGACAUUCAUCAAUUUGGAGGUUACUGCAGGGUGGGGAAAAGAUGAUUCGAGAACCUUGGAGGCAGCAGGGGCUUGCUAGUGUAGAAAUCUCGUGUGAAUUGAAAAACGCAUAUGGGUGGAUGAAACAUACGACUUUUGUUGGAUCAAAACAUCAAAUAAAAGGUAGUGAGGUUGAAAAUAGAAAUAGUGAAUAUUGCAUUCCGGUGGAUACUAUAAGCAUCGCAGGAGAUACAACUAGUCCUGCAAAUAACUUGGCUGCUAGCAAUUAUAGUUUAAUCAAGUCCGUUAAUUUGCACUCACUUAGUGAUGCAAACUUGGAGAUGAAUACAAGAUCCUCUCUGUGUACAGAUUAUUUGCUCAGGGCUUCCCCUGAGGCAGACAGUAGUAUUUCACUGUCCAGCUUUUCUAAUUUGUAUGCAGACUAUAAUAUGAACUCUCUAGUUUCCUGUAAUAGCGGACCUGAAGAAUGUUGGCAUAGCACCGAUGACAAUCAACUGCGUGACACCAAAAGCAAACAACCUGAAAAAUGGGUCAGUGAGGAUUCAUUUAAGGAGGAAGUGGUAUCUUCAUCAGCAUCUCGGAAAUCCCAUUUCACUCUUGCUAAGCAAGAGCAUGCCUUUGCAGGGGCCUUUGCUGGAAUAUUUGUUACCCUUUGUCUUCAUCCUGUUGAUACAAUUAAGACUGUCGUUCAAUCUUGCCGUGCAGAGCAGAAGUCUCUAUUCUAUAUUGGAAGAUCAAUUGUUUCUGAUAGAGGUUUAACUGGACUUUACCGUGGAAUCACUACCAACAUUGCAUCUUCUGCUCCAAUUUCUGCCAUCUACACAUUCACUUACGAAUCCAUAAAAGGAGCUUUGCUUCCUAUUUUUCCAAAAGAGUACUACUCUUUUGCCCAUUGUGUUGCAGGUGGUUGUGCAAGUGUUGCUACUUCUUUUGUUUUUACUCCUAGUGAGCAUAUAAAGCAGCAGAUGCAAGUGGGCUCUCACUAUGGUAACUGCUGGAAAGCAUUGGUUGGAAUAAUUCGAAAGGGAGGUUUGCGCUCUUUGUACGCAGGAUGGGGAGCAGUACUUUGCAGGAAUGUACCACACUCGAUUAUCAAGUUCUACACGUAUGAAAGCUUGAAGCAGUUGAUGUCAUCAUCACUACCAUCUAGUAUUCAGCCCAACACACUACAAACACUAGUUUGUGGAGGACUAGCUGGAUCCACUGCCGCUUUAUUUACAACUCCUUUUGAUGUGGUAAAGACGAGGCUGCAGACACAGAUUCCGGGAUCCACAAGCCAAUAUAGUAGUGUGGUUCAUGCCCUUUGCGAAAUAGGAAAGAAUGAAGGUGUAAAGGGCCUCUACAGGGGAUUGACUCCAAGGUUGGUUAUGUAUCUAUCUCAAGGAGCACUUUUCUUUGCAUCAUAUGAAACUUUCAAGAGAUUAAUGGCUUUGGAGACGCCACAGCCUGAAGCUGAAAGAAUCCAACACCAAGAUGACACGCAAGACGACUCGUUGAUACCGUCACCAUCUUCUGCUCCAACAAAGCUUCACAACUUGCAUUGAUAUCGGAGCUUGUGAUUCAUUGUCAUGGGAGCAUAUAGAUAUAGAGAAUCAAACCGAGAGUCUAGCGCCGUGAACGGUGGGCAGGCGUAUCAGUCAGAUUGUCAUUUGUGUUUUUAGUCGUGGCAUGGAAUAUGUAUAGGCUCAAUUCCAGAAAGUGAUAUUGUAAGCUGUUGAAGGCUUUUAGCUCAAUGAGUGAAUUGUAAAAUAUUGUUCUUUCAGACAUUGUAGCUUUGUGCAACUUCUUAUGAUCAAUAAAGUAGUAGCCCUCUAAUGU